UAGAGUUAAGAGAUAAAAAUAAUGACUCUUUCCACAGAUAUCCCAGGAGAAGAUGAGUGGAAUUAUUACCUGAGAAAAAAUUCAGCUUAUAUUUGCUUUAAGAUAAACAACGCAGUAAUUGUCCCUGGUAGAGCAAUUAUCUGCUAGACCUAAGAAGUAAGCAAGGCUCGUGUUUUCACUAUUCUUCUUUUAACUAUGUUCUCCGUGUGCAAGUAACAUAAUUCCUUUCACGUUUUUCCCCUUUUCACAAGCUGACAGAAAACUGAAUUUGUCUGUACCCUGAGUUGCUGAUGGUAGUAGGAAGUACGAAUUGCUACUGCACGAUCAACCACACCAGCUAAUGCACUCCUGACUCCAAAACAUACGGAGGAAAACCAAACAACACAACAUCACUGCUGCUCCUUCCUUCCAAGGCACUCUGGGAAAUAAAGCAAACAGAAGCAGCAGCAGGACAAGCAUCCCAGUAUAAACAUGAGUAAGCCACAAGGGCCUGCCACACAACCUACAGCUUACCACCAGUCAGCUGAGGCAGUAUCUUCAUACGGCAGAAGGUAAAUAUCAGUUUCAGAAAAAAGUAUCAAGUGAAAACAAACAAACAAUUACUCUCCUUCACAUAAAUUAUAAAACAAACAUUUCAGUUGUAUUACUACUUAAAAUUUUGGUUCUUACCUAAAUGGAGUGCCCAAUCAAAGCUGAAGGACAACAGUUAUUUGUAAAGGAAAAAGGACAUCCUGUGUUUGAGGACACAACGGUAUAUUUAAGUCAACCUGUAAAAUAUUUACCCUCUGAGGACUUCUACAGCUUCAAUUACUAUUCUCUGCUUUUUUCAGAAUGUAUUAAGCAGAUCUUCUGAGAUCACCGGGUUUGGACUACUUCAGAUUUAUUCCUGUCCCUCAAACACUGCCUGCUGGGGAAACACUAUCUGCCUGCCACAGCACAAUGUAAAGAAUGUAUGAGUGAGCAUCUACGUAAACCUCUGCUUUCCUGCCAACAACAGCAGCAACCCGGCAGUCUUGAAGAUUUCACUUGUACUGCUCAGAACUAAACUCCAUAAGGUGCAUUUCCUAUUAGUGAACAGAAGUAUUUCCUACUUACACAGUACUUGUCUCCAUGGAUCUUCCAUCAAGUUAGCCCACAAGGAUCUGAG